rnacentral:rRNA from 1 species
AUGUUAACUCAUGAAGAAUUUGUUGACAUGUCCAUGACACUUCGGGAAAUAUGGCAUGCUCGUUGAAAGGCAAUACAUGAAGCUAUUUUUCAAAGUCCCCAAGCGACCCAUAGCUUCAUAGAGAGGUUCCUCAAAGACCUUUCCUUGAUCAACGCCAAACCAAGCGCUCCAGCUCGGAACAUUACAUCCCAUCAAGCAAACACGAAGCCAAAAAGGCCCCCUGCCGGACACUGCAAGAUACACGUGGACGGGGGAGUGCAAAGAAGAAGAGGAGGAUCAUCAGCCGCAGUUUGCAGAGAUGCGGAAGGAAAUUUCUUGGGCAGCUCGGCCCUAGUCAUAGAAGGAGUUAUUGAUCCGUCCACUCUUGAAGCAAUCGCAUGCCGCGCACUAGCACUUGUUGAAGACCUACAUAUACAACAUUUUGUUGUAGCAUCCGAUUGCAAGCAAGUCAUCUCAGACAUUGACAGAAGCGCCAAAGGAGCAUAUGGAGCAAUCAUAAGCGAGAUCAAUGUUCAUGCAACAUCUCUCAAUUGUAUUUUUUCUUUUAAGUCUCGUGCUGUGAAUUAUGAAGCACAUAGUCUAGCUAAAUUUGCUUUCUCUAGAGCUCCGGGGCGCCACGUUUGGUUUGGCACCCCGCACGACCUGAGAUGUACCCCACUUCAUGUGGAUUUUGAUGAAUAA